GGGUGCGAUCAUACCAGCGUGAAUGCACCGGAUCCCCUCAGAACUCCGCAGUUAAGUGCGCUUGGGCUAGAGUAGUAAUGGGAUGGGUGACCUCCCAAGAGGUCCUGGUGUUGCACCCU
rnacentral:rRNA from 1 species